AUGCUCAAUUCAGCAGCACACACACUAAAAUUGGAAUAAUACAGAGAAGAUUAGCAUGGUCCCCAUGUGAGGGUGACAUUCAAAUUCAUGAAGCAUUCCAUAUUUUU